UCGGCCUUGUUCCGACCCCAUCACUCAGCCGUCCUCCAUCACUUCCCCUUUCUACAUCAUUUUACAUAAUGGUUCUGCCCGUCCAGAUAUAUUCCUUACGUUUAACAACACUGAAGAAAGUCUGUUGGUACACCCCUCCCCACCCGUUCUGUAAUGAUUUCAAAUAAUUAAAACUCGAGGACAUGGUUGCAUUGAAAAAGGAACACGUUUAACAUUCAAUUGUCCUUUUAAUGUCCCUUUCUUCACUGUAAAACAAGUAUUCCCUACUGUUUCUUUGGUUUGAUUAUUUCCCUGUUUUGUGAAAAAUGCUGGCCGUUUCAAAUCGUUUAGUUCAUAAUAUGCUGUGCUGGAAAACCUUGAAAUGUUUUAAAUGGCAGCAGUGACCUGAGGGUCUUCUCUGCCCUUUCCUGCAUUAUGUUUUCCUGAAUCCAACCUGUCAAAAUGAGAUGGAGAGACAAGAGGAAGGCAAGCAGGAGCGUCCAGAAUACGAGAGGCCGGUGCUACACAGCGUCGUGUUGGAUCUGCUCACAUUCACCCACUGUCGGCUGUCGGCUAUAGGAGGAGAGACCUGGCAGCCAUGCAACCCGCUCCAUCAAAGUGGGUGUCGUUCUGCAGGGGUACAGCGAGGGAGAGAAGGGCACCAGUCCAACGAGAUCGCUCCUCUCAAUUUCGGGAACACUGCUUUUGGACCGUCAGCAUUUACAGUCAGAGCGGCAGAAAAUGGAACUGGUAAUGGCAACGGAUAAUGGAAAUGGAACUCAAUUUGCAUACGCACGAGAAAAUGCACAGGCUUAAGUGUUCGGAAACAUGUUAAACAUGGCUCAAGAUAGACAAAUCAUGUGAUCACUGAUCUAAGAGUGAACACACACGUUAUAAGAAUGAAGCCUUACUGACAAGAGUCUUAAAUUAUUCAUUCAAUGAAUCUCUAUCCGCUUCUCCCCUCUUCUACACAUGCAUUUAAACAUCCUCAAACAAGUGCAUGAUACUUUAUAACCCUCCAGAGAGAAAGGCCACUGGUGGCAAUAAUGCAAUAUCCAAUAUUCCGAAAGUAAAAAUGAUAAACUCUGAUCUUUAUGCAUUUAAUUGUAUUUAUUUAUUGGUAUUAUUUCAGGUUAUUUGUUGGCACAAUUCAACAAUUCAGCUCAUGUUCACAUAACUAAUUAAAAAAUAUGGGUUAGAACUGAUAUCCAAUCAGUUAAUGAAACGUGCAGAAUGGGAACCGGCCCAAUUCUCAGAGCAAUCAGCACAGGAAGGCGUCAGGCGGGACAUGGUGUAGGAAAGGAAGCGUCAACAAACUUAUUCAGGCAAUCAGAGUUUGGUCUCAUGCUUUUCUGAUAUUUCACAAAGGAAAAAAAAGUGGAAAUAACAACCUAACAAAUGCAACAUUACUGAAAGUAUAAAAUACACAUCUCAUUUUGAGUCUUUACUGCAUAAAAAUAAAUAAACAAGGAAAGCUUCAAUCAAAAGGUUCUGAUGUUAAACAUGCACGCAAAAAAAGACGGGAUAUGAUGUCCAUAAGAGUAAUGAGGCCCUAGGAGAGGUUGAGAAACAAAAACCCAUGGCUCGGAUAGAGCGCUACCAUACUGUGUCCUGCACCCACAAAGAGAGCAGGAGCCAUGUAAUUUAUCAACACAUGGGAAAUUACUUACUAUUGUUGUCGCAGAAUGAACAGGGGAGGAGGUGUAAAAUAGGUUUAAGCAUGUCAAUGAAUCAUCAACUCAACCUGCUUACCUCUCCUGCUCUCUCUCUCUCUCUCUCUCUCUCUCUCUCUCUCUCUCUCUCUCUCUCUCUCUCUCUCUCUCUCUCUCUCUCUCUCUCUCUCUCUCUCAAGCUCUCUCUCAAGCUCUCUCUCAAGCUCUCUCUCGCUCUCUCAUAUAUGUAUUUAUAUAGUCUCUUGAAGACAAUCUUCAUUUCGCUCAAUCUUCAUUUUGCUGUUCAUAUUCACGUUUUGUCACUUCACGUAUCAAAGAGAUAAGAUUUACAUGAAGUGUGUUCAUUUAGAGUGUUUAAUUAUUAAUCCUGCUGUCUAGAUGUGUACAUUCGAGAUGAUCGCAACCCAUAUUUUCCCUGGUUAAAUAAUCGGUUGGUGAUAUGAGUGAAUAAUCAGGUAAUUGGCCAUCACGGUCAGAAAUUAAUCCCUUGCACGUACUGAAUAUUGUGUUCAUAUUGAUGGCCCAGCAAGUCUUAGCUGCAUUUCACCUUCCACAUCAGGAGGUACCAAACAGUCAUUUGUUGGUAUUACCUGUAAUUUGUCCUGAAUUGAAAAGGUGAUGCAUUUUGUGACUGUUGGAGCGCAACUCUAUCAUCUCCGCUAGUCUCACUCUUGACUUCAACCACCUUUCAUUCGCAUCCACCAGGUCGGGUUUUUUAGUAAAGCCCAAAGGAUAUAGAUCUUCAUAUUUUCAGUAGGACAGAAACAAGACGGAGAACAAUGUUGUUUAACGGAGCAAGGCAGACAGAUCUCAGACUUGACAUGGCCCUAUUUUCAAAUAGGACUCAUCUACUUUGGACACAGUAAUUUUGAAACAUCUACUGUCCGUCCCGACAUGGCUGUGUUAUUUUUGUUUAACACGUAUGUAACUCUUCACUGUGCUUUGAAGCACUGUUCCACUAUUUACCAGAAAGAUACAUGAUCCGAUACCAGAGAGAAAGGAUAAGGGUUUGAGACCCAAGUUCUGUCUGGGUUAGAGUCCUAGAAUCUGUGUUGGAGUCCCAGAGAAAGGACCAAGUUCCUUUAGGUCGGGUUGGAGUCCCAGAGAAAGGACCAAGUUCCUUUAGGUCGGGUUGGAGUCCCAGAGAAAGGACCAAGUUCCUUUAGGUCGGGUUGGAGUCCCAGAGAAAGGACCAAGUUCCUUUAGGUCGGGUUGGAGUCCCAGAGAAAGGACCAAGUUCCUUAGGUCGGGUUGGAGUCCCAGAGAAAGGACCAAGUUCCUUAGGUCGGGUUGGAGUCCCAGAGAAAGGACCAAGUUCCUUUAGGUCGGGUUGGAGUCCCAGAGAGAGGACCAAAUUCCUUUAGGUCUGGUUGGAGUCCUGACGUGGGUAACUUCGAAGGGUUUAAGACCCGAGUUCUGUCUGGGUUGGAGUCCUAGUAUCCGGGUUGGAGUCCCGGAGAAAGGACCAAUUUCCUUUAGGUCGGGUGUGAGUCCCGAAGUGGGUACCAGAGCGACUGUUGAUGUGAUCUUAAAUACACUGCACUUUCUAAAAUGCUGAUCUAUUUUACUCAUUUAUUUGCAUAGGUUUUCUUUUACUUAUCUAUUAUUUUAUUUUAUUGUAUGACAUUGUUUAUAUGUGAAGCACUUUGAGUGUACAUGUAUGUAAGUGCUAUAUAAAUAAAGUUGCCUUGCCUUGCCUAUUCAUACAG